rnacentral:rRNA from 1 species
UACGAAGGGGGCUAGCGUUGCUCGGAAUCACUGGGCGUAAAGCGCACGUGGGCGGAUUGCUAAGUCAGGGGUGAAAUCCUGGAGCUCAACUCCAGAACUGCCCUUUGAUACUGAGAGGCUUGAGUCCGGGAGAGGUGAGUGGAACUGCGAGUGUAGAGGGUGAAAAUUCGUAGAUAUUCGCAAGAACACCAGUGGCGAAGGCGGCUCACUGGCCCGGUACUGACGCUGAGGUGCGAAAGCGUGGGGAGCAACAGG